GUCAAGAGGAUCCUUGGCAGAACCUACUCAGCUCAACAUGACAAUCUCCUGUCAUCUAUGUUUUUGCUCCUGGUCAUCAUUAGAAGAAUGAAAACCUCAAAAUCAGUCAGACUGUAUGAAAAUAAAAUGUGUCCUGGUACCCUGAAACACAGUCACCUGAUGUCUGUCUUCUGAGAUAAGGGCAAUGGAGGCAUGUGCUUACAUGUGGUGUCUGCAAAAUACGAAUAUUUUUAAUCCCUCUGGAUAUAGCCAUAUAAAUAAAAUUGAACCACUUUUGCCAUCCUUUUAUUUCACUUGAACUAAUCUGAAGGAGAGCUGAAGGAGCAGCCUGAAUGAGCACAAUGAG